rnacentral:misc_RNA from 1 species
UUAAAUAUUAUAUAGUACUCAGACAUAACUAAACACAGAGUUGGGGUCCCCUGGCAGGCACGGUCAGCCAAAGCCAACGCCCGAAGGCGGCCUGCCAAAGCAACAAAGGUAGGUAGACACGGUUGUGGGAUUAGAACCCGAUUGACGAACAAAAACGGGGCGAUGAAUCUUUUUUCAUUAAUGAUCCUUCCGCAGGUUCACCUACGGAAA